GAAUAUUGGACAAUGGGCGAAAGCCUGAUCCAGCAAUGCCGCGUGAGUGAUGAAGGCCUUAGGGUUGUAAAGCUCUUUUGCCAGGGAUGAUAAUGACAGUACCUGGAGAAUAAGCUCCGGCUAACUCCGUGCCAGCAGCCGCGGUAAUACGGAGGGAGCUAGCGUUGUUCGGAAUUACUGGGCGUAAAGCGCGCGUAGGCGGUUUUGCAAGCCAGAGGUGAAAUGCCUGAGCUCAACUUGGGAAUUGCCUUUGGGACUGUGAGGCUUUGAGGACUGGAGAGGUGAGUGGAAUUCCCAGUGUAGAGGUGAAAUUCGUAGAUAUUGGGAAGAACACCGGUGGCGAAGGCGGCUCACUGGCCAGUUUCUGACGCUGUAGCGCGAAAGCGUGGGGAUCAAACAGG
rnacentral:rRNA from 1 species